rnacentral:rRNA from 1 species
CAGCCGCCGCGGUAAUACGUAGGUGGCGAGCGUUGUCCGGAAUUACUGGGUGUAAAGGGAGCGCAGGCGGGGGGACAAGUCAGCUGUGAAAACUACCGGCUUAACCGAUAGAUUGCAGUUGAAACUGUUUUUCUUGAGUGGAGUAGAGGCAGGCGGAAUUCCGAGUGUAGCGGUGAAAUGCGUAGAUAUUCGGAGGAACACCGGUGGCGAAGGCGGCCUGCUGGGCUCUAACUGACGCUGAGGCUCGAAAGUGUGGGGAGCAAACAGGAUUAGAUACCCUGGUAGUCCACACUGUAAACGAUGAUUGCUAGGUGUGGGGGGUCUGACCCCUUCCGUGCCGGAGCUAACGCAAUAAGCAAUCCACCUGGGGAGUACGGCCGCAAGGUUGAAACUCAAAGGAAUUGACGGGGGCCCGCACAAGCAGUGGAUUAUGUGGUUUAAUUCGAAGCAACGCGAAGAACCUUACCAGGUCUUGACAUCCGGCUAACGAGGCAGAGAUGCGUCAGGUGCCCUUCGGGGAAAGUCGAGACAGGAGGUGCAUGGCC